rnacentral:snoRNA from 1 species
ACAAAAUGAGUGAAGAAUUUUUUGCGUGUCAAAUGAUUGAAUUCAAAAUGAUUCAAGCAAGCUCUGAAAUU